GACCACGUAGCUCAGUUGGCAGAGCAUUGGGCUAGUGUUCCAAAGGUGGUAGGUUCGAUUCCCACCGUGGCCG